GAACGCACAUUGCGCCCCUUGGUAUUCCAUGGGGCAUGCUUGUUCGAGCGUCAUUUGUACUCUCAAGCUUUGCUUGGUGUUGGGUGUUUGUCCUUUCCUUGUGUUUGGACUCGCCUUAAAUUCAUUGGCAGCCAAAGUAUUGGUUUGAAGCGCAGCACAAUUUGCGAUUCUAACUGGUAUUGUUAGCGUCCAGUAAGCACAUUUAACACUUUUGACCUCGGAUCAAGUAGGGAUACCCGCUGAACUUA
rnacentral:misc_RNA from 1 species